UACGUAGGGGGCAAGCGUUGUCCGGAAUCAUUGGGCGUAAAGAGCGUGUAGGCGGCCCGGUAAGUCCGCUGUGAAAGUCAAGGGCUCAACCCUUGAAUGCCGGUGGAUACUGCAGGGCUAGAGUCCGGAAGAGGCGAGUGGAAUUCCUGGUGUAGCGGUGAAAUGCGCAGAUAUCAGGAGGAACACCGGUGGCGAAGGCGGGUCUCUGGGCCGAUACUGACGUGAGGAGCGAAAGCGUGGGGGAGCGAACAG
rnacentral:rRNA from 1 species